GUCACGAUGAAGUUAUCCGUAUUUAAACUUUUCUUUUUGGCGACUCUCUUUUGCUUUAUGGAAUUGUCCACGGCUUUUUUAGGCGGGGAUACGUUUGCAAACUUGCCCCACCUCCAUUUUCAACAAUUUG